rnacentral:tRNA from 2 species
GCCCCGGUAGCUCAGUUGGAUAGAGCAUCCCCCUCCUAAGGGGAAGGUCACACGUUCGAAUCGUGUUCGGGGCACCA